AUUGAACGCUGGCGGCAGGCCUAACACAUGCAAGUCGAGCGGAGCGGCGGACGGGUGAGUAAUUCCUAGGAAUCUGCCUGGCAGUGUGGGAUAACGUACGGAAACGGGCGCUAAUACCGCACACUAUCAGAUGAGCCUAGGUCGGAUAGGCUGGUUGGUGGGGUAAAGGCUGACCAAGGCGACGAUCCGUAACUGGUCUGAGAGGAUGAUCGGUCACACGGGAACGGAGAACCGGUCCGAACGCCUACGGAGGGCGGAGGUGGGGAAUAUUGGACAUGUGGCGAAGGCCUAAUGAGGCCAUGCCGCGUGUUUGAGGAAGGUCUUCGGAUUGUAAAGCACUUUGAGUGAGGAGGCGUUACCAACAGAAUAAGCACCGGCUAACUUCGUGCCAGCCGCCGCGGUAAUUC
rnacentral:rRNA from 1 species